GGUAAUCAAAACCGCACUU
rnacentral:snRNA from 1 species